rnacentral:rRNA from 1 species
AUACCGGAUGGCAUAGUUUUCCCGCAUGGGAUAAUUAUUAAAGAAUUUCGGUUGUCGAUGGGGAUGCGUUCCAUUAGGCAGUUGGCGGGGUAACGGCCCACCAAACCUACGAUGGAUAGGGGUUCUGAGAGGAGGGUCCCCCACAUUGGAACUGAGACACGGUCCAAACUCCUACGGGAGGCAGCAGUGAGGAAUAUUGGUCAAUGGACGAGAGUCUGAACCAGCCAAGUAGCGUGAAGGAUGACUGCCCUAUGGGUUGUAAACUUCUUUUAUACGGGAAUAAAGUGAGCCACGUGUGGCUUUUUGUAUGUACCGUAUGAAUAAGGAUCGGCUAACUCCGUGCCAGCAGCCGCGGUAAUACGGAGGAUUCGAGCGUUAUCCGGAUUUAUUGGGUUUAAAGGGAGCGUAGGCGGGUUGUUAAGUCAGUUUGUGAAAGUUUG